AUUGAACGCUGGCGGCAGGCCUAACACAUGCUAGUCGAACGAGUGGCGGACGGGUGAGUAAUGUCUGGGAAACUGCCCGAUGGAGGGGUAUAACUACUGGAAACGGUAGCUAAUACCGCAUACCAUCGGAUGUGCCCAGAUGGGAUUAGCUAGUAGGUGGGGUAACGGCUCACCUAGGCGACGAUCCCUAGCUGGUCUGAGAGGAGGACCAGCCACACUGGAACUGAGGCACGGGCCAGACGACUACGGGAGGCAGCAGUGGGGAAUAUUGCACAAUGGACGCAAGCCUGAUGCAGCCAUGCCGAGUGUAUGAAGAAGGCCAUCGGGUUGUAAGAUACUUUGAGAGAGGAGGCGUUACUCGCAGAAGAAGCACCGGCUAACUCCGUGCCAGCAGCCGCGGUAAUUC
rnacentral:rRNA from 1 species